CAAAAACUUAAUCUAAUCCAUUUCAGAAUGGACAGCGGAACAAGAGGCUAGGUUUUUUCCGCUCUCCCACAGAAUAUGGGGUUCAGAUUUCCUCUGAUUUCUUUAUGCGGCAGCUGUUGGAUCGCCUCUUUUUCUCAGCGGGGGUUACACUCCACAUUUUCGGGAGGGGGUUUCCCUCCGGAGCGCAAACAUCCAGGCCACGGGAUCCUUGCCAACAGGGGAUUUGCACUCAAUUGAUAACUGGCGGCUGGUGAGUUCAUGACAACGUGUCAAAGUGUGUGAGCGUGUAUGUGCAGAGAUGUGUGUGUGUUUGUGUUCGUCGACGGAGUGUGAGACUGUGCGUUUGUGUGAUAGCGUUUCCUUUACGGUCUUGUCUGAUGUAUUCCUCUCUUGCGAGCAGCUGCUGAACACUUUCACAUGUGCACAAGUAUUAUGUGCUCAUGAUAAUAUUUAGAUGAACUCUCCCAACUAAGGACUGGUGGAAACUCUCUUUAUCUUGUGCACUCAUCAUCAUCAUCAUCAUUAAAACAAAUAUCAAAAGAUGAGGGUGUACUUUCUGAGUUUAUAGCCUUUGUACACCUACGUGUAUAAUCACCCAUCUGUGUGUCUGCAUACAAACAGAAGAAAAAAAGGAUUUAGCUUAAUUCCUGCACUGAUACUUGUUAUUUCCCACACUCCCUUUACUUGUCUAACAAACUAUUUAGAAAUACAGUAAACACACUCUAAUUAUAUAGUUACAUAAAGAAGCAGCUUACACUUCGAAGACAUAAAUCUGUGUAAUUGUGUUUGGUUUGUUCCGCCAUUAAUUUUUUCCGACUGCAGCUGACAAUAGCAUCGCGGCUUGGUUGGAUUUUAGACUUGACUGGCUCGUGAUUGACAGGAGGCGGGUCCAAACAUAACUAACAUAACCACAGACAGCAAAAUGAUUCUUUGGAAACUUAAUUUUUUUGGUGAGGAACCAGACAGCAGAGGUAAGACAAUCCCGUCUCACUUCAGCUCUCUUGUGCAGCAUAAUGUGCCAACUUUGUUAUAAUAUGCUAAUAGGUCCACAGCUGCGUGGUGUGUUUGCCUCAUUAACACACCAAAAAAUAUCCAAAAUAUGUUAUUGUUUUGAGGAAGGAAAUAUGCAAUAAACUAUUUCUAAUCUUGUGGACACACUUAAAACUUUUUCAUGUCUCAUCAAGGCUUAGAAUCUCGGAACAAGCAGCCAAAUCUCCAGCCUAAACACUGCCUGUCUCCUGGCUGAUACAGACUGUGUGGACUUAACCAGGGUGUGAUGGCAAGAGUGACAUGGAACUGUUGGGGGCUUUAAAAAGUGCAAAGUCUACAAUGUCAACAAAAGUCUGAACACGUUUUCUUACGGAAUAUGUUGCCAUGUUGUCCGUUUUCUUUUAAUUAACACAAAGCUCUACUUACUGUGGAGUUGUACUUCCACAGGGUUUAGCUCAUGAAACAGUGUGGACCCCCUACACAAUGGCUGGCGGCUUGUUUUUUUCGAGAGGCAGCAGGCCCCAUAGAAGACGACCCUGACCCUUUGCUGUCUCUUUUCAAUGCAGCCCCCAGGCAGAGAAUGUGGGAAUUUAGGGUUGAGUGUCUUGGCCAAUGGAUACUUCGACAUGGGGACUGGAGGAAGCAGGGAUCGAACCACCAAGCCUCUGGGAACCUGAAGAGGAAGAAGACAUGCUGAUGCCACCUCCUGUAAUUUCUCUUCUUUACAGUCUCACAAAUACGUUCUUCUGAAAUUCUUAAUUUACCUAUAUCAUUAAAAUGUGUUGAAUUAAGAGGAAAAAAUAAUACUCAUAAUGUGUAAAGUGUCCACAAGUUGCGAGCACAGUAUCUGUGUGUGAGUGAUGUCAAUGGGACAUUUGCAGGCUUAAUCAUGGAGACAAAAAAUAUUGAUAGUGUUGCAUGGAAAGUUUUAAUAUUUAUGGAAUUUGCCAGUGCUGAUCAUGCUCCGAGUUUUAAAAUGACAUCUCCCAUAAUUUGAGUGCUUUGGAGGAUGUAAACAGGAAGUGCAAGGUUACUAUGGAGUCAGUCAGUUAUGUCAGCUGUGGGCUACUAGUUGAGCCCCAUUGUUUUUUGUGCAUACAUUUAUUUACUUUAUUUUUGGCAAAUUAGUACCAUGGUAGUAUAGUGAAUUAGACAUGAGUUCCUUUUUACAUUAAACUGAUUGAUGUGCAGUCAUUUAUAACUGGAGUCUUUUGAAAUUGAAGGAAACUUUCAAAUUGAAUCUUUCUACUUCCGAGAUUUUGGAUUGUUUCUUUUUGCUUUGAUUUUUUUUAACAUAAGAAUGUUUUUCACUCCUUUAAUUUGGGUCAGGAAUUUGAAUGCAAUACUUUUUGUAUUUGUAAUGGAGUAUUUUUACAUCUCCAUUUUGGUAAUUAAAAACAACAAACCCUAA